rnacentral:lncRNA from 1 species
GUUCCGAGUCCGCCGCUCCCUCCCGAGCGGCCGCGGGGCCCAGGCGGAGGCGGGAAGGGCCGCGGCUCCCGGCUUCUGUUCCGUCAGCGGACGCGCCCCUCCCCGACCUGCUCUUCUCGCCGGCCCCGGGCGAAGGGGCGGGGUGGGCGCGGGGCCGAGGAAGCCAGGUAGGAACCCCCUCCGGGGUGGGGCGAGGCCCGCGGGGAAGGAAGGAGGGAGGCGGCGUGUGGCCCUGGGUUCGCGGGCCCCGUCCACCAAGCCCUGGUGCUUCUCGGUGGGAGGCCUCAGGAUGUGGCCUCUCCCCGCACGGCCGAGAUGCUUUUCCCGGUGCCGCCAGCGGCUGCAGCCGCUCCGGGGUGGCCCUCAGGAAGCGUGAGGUCCGGGGGCCUCCAGCAGCCCCUCUCCACCUGCACCAGGAGGCGGACUGUGGAGGCUGCAGGCUCUUACUGCCUCUCGGCUUUGGAUCUAUCCGGAGACACCAUCCAGAGGCGUAGGGACUGUGGUGUUGUUCACAACGUGUCGUUAUUUAAAAGUAUCGGGGUCGGGCGCGCCUGUAACCCCAGCACUUGGGGAGGCCGAGGCGGGCAGAUCACUUGACGUCAGGAGUUCGAGACCAGCCUGACCACCACGGUGAAACCCCGUCUCUACUAAAAAUACAAAAUUAGCCAGGUGUGGUGGUGCCUGUCUGUAGUCCCAGCUACUCUGGAGGCUGAGGCAGGAGAAUCGCUUGAACCUGGGAGGCAGAGGUUGCAGUGAGCCGAGAUCACGCCACUGCACUCCAGCCUGGGCCACAGAGCAGGACUCUGUCUCAAAAAACAAACAAACAAACAAACAAAAAAACAGUUAUCGGGACAGGCGUCUAAACUUGAAUGAAUUGGAAUACAUUUCAUUUGUGCCAAGCACCAAUCACAUGGAUGAAGACAGGAAUUUCAGUAUCAUUGGCUUCUGUCCUUUAGGAACUACCAGCUUUAUUUUGCUUUGGUCUGUAUCUUCCUCAGCUAACAAACGUAGGGGGUGGGAAAUACAGUUCAUUUAUGUUACUACAAAUGAAAGGUAUGACGGGUCUCCUCAGAUCACCGUCAUGCAAAAUGCUGACCAAAAUCCCGUAUGAGGACUUCGGAACAGCUGGGCUCGGCUCUCUGGGCCACGAUUUGCUGGUCCGUGAAAUGAGAGGGAGGCUGGAUCACUAGCUCUUUAACGGUCUUCCAGCUCUAGAUUCUUAUGAGUCUAUGACUUUUACAAAGUGGCAGAUGAUUUCUGUUAGGUGCCAGUUAAAUUACUUUAACACGGCAGUUAGUGAUGUAGGAACUGGUGUAGAGUGAGCACAGCUUUUGUUUUUUUCAAUUUGGAUUCAUUCAUGAUGGAGUCUGAAGAUGUUUCUCAGGUUUAAAAGAUAGUUUUCCUUCAGUGGUAGUAUCAGUUACUAGGCUGUGACCUUUUGGAAUGAAUGUAGCCUCUAACAUCUUCCUAUAUGUGGUUAAGAAAAGGGACUUAGCCAACAGGACGGUGGCAGACAGCCUCAAGAAAAGCCUCAAACUUCGUCCACUUAGGGCAACAUCUCUAACUCCCAAAUUCACUGCUGACAUACUCAGUGAAAGGAGAAAGCCACUUCAGGUUGGUCCCAAGAUAUCUGACAAAUGCGACGCUCUCUUUAUUUUCACAUUCGCUUGUGGACAAAACCAGCUACCUGUGAACUCUCCAUUCUCUCCAGGAAAACGACUCUGUGCAGUCCACUGUCUCUUUCCUAAGCAUUUAUCACAGUGACCUCCAGCGCCAGUGUUUCCAGAGAGUGACAGGUGGUUACAAGUCCUCCCUGCCUUCCCUCCUUAAAGGGAGCAGCAGCUUGGCAGUGAGUAUGCUGGCACCUUUGAGUGGUGGGAACCAGUCUCCCCUACACAAGAAGCUGUAAGGCAUCUUUAUGAGUUGAAAACAAAACAACCGAUGUUUCAUGUAUAGAAAAUAGCAAGUAAAGGCCGGGCGCAGUGGCUCAUGCCUGUCAUCCCAGCACUUUGGGAGGCCGAGGCGGGCGGAUCACGAGGUCAGGAGAUCGAAACCAUCCUGGCUAACAUGGUGAAACCCGGCCUCUACUAAAAAUACAAAAAGUUAGCCGGGCGUGGUGGCGGGCGCCUGUAGUCCCAGCUACUCGGGAGGCUGAGGCAGGAGAAUGGCAUGAACCCGGGAGGCGAAGGUUGCAGUGAGCCAAGAUCGUGCCACUGCACUCCAUCCUGGGCAACAGAGCAAGACUCUGUCUCAAAUAAAAAAAAAAAAAAGAAAAAAGAAAAUAGCAAGUAAGAUCAGUUUCAACACCAUGCUCAGUGAAGUCACCAGACUGUUUAUGUUGAAUCACCAUAAAGCUAACAAGCAGAAACAUGAACCUUAGCUUUUCAAGCGAUCAAACCCCUGUCGGCAAAUGGUAAGGCCAAAUGAAAAACACGGGGCCUGGUUUACACAAACUUCCCCUCAUCCUUCAAAAGUCUCGAAUCAGCUGUUUCCUUCUCUAAGAAGGUUUCCAGGUCUGCCUUUGGGUUUGGGUAACGAGGCUGUUGUUUUCUCAUUUGUAUGUUUCUCCACCAGACUGUUAGGUCCUAGAAACAAGGACUGUGUCUUUUCAUUUUGUACCCCAAGUGAGGCUGGCACAUUCUGAGGGUGCAAUACAUGUUUCAUACUUUCCAAAGCUCAUACCUGUUGAGUACUUACUGUUUGCUAGGUCCUAUGUCAGAUGUUUUGUCUACAUUGUCUCAUUAAAUCCUCACAACAGAUGUU